rnacentral:sRNA from 1 species
CUGUGGAGUAGACGCUGAUAUUGGAAUAAGAGUUCUCAUCGAGCAUAACCUCAUCAAAAUUGACAAGAACAACAAAUUUAGAAUGCACCCUUUGCUACAAGAAGUCGGAGUACAAAUUAUUCAUGAAAAAUUAGAAGGGGAUUUUGGGAAGAACAGGCUACCGUCAAAAUAUGGGACAGAAACCUUGCAGUACCUUCUUGAGAAGCUAAGAUGGAUCAGAUUGCAUGGGUUUCCUUCAGAAUGUCUGCCUAACAACUUUUAUGAGGAUGAUGCAACAGUGAUUGAUUUAAAACGCAGUCUUCUCCGAUUUCUCUGGAAAACACCCCAGGUUUUGAGAUCCCUAAAAGUCCUUAACCUCAGUCACUCCGAGCAUUUAACUACAACCCCUGACUUUACCGGAUUACCAAGUCUUGAACACCUCAUUUUCAAAUAUUGUUCAAGAUUGCGCAAACUACACCAAUCUAUUGGAUCACUCAACAGUCUUACACUGCUAAAUUUGAAAUACUGUACAAGUCUGAACAAUCUUCCAACAAAGAUAUAUGACUUGAAAUCUUUAAGAACCUUCAUUCUCUCUGGUUGUUCCAUUCACAUAAUGGAUAAAGAUAUAGCAAAGUUGGAAUCCUUGAUAACUCUAAUUGCUGAAAAUACAGCUGUGAGACAUGUGCCUUUUUCAAUUGUAAGCUCAAAAGGCAUUGGAUACAUGUCCCUACGACGAUUUGAGGGAUUAUCUAAUAAUCUUUUUCCUUCUAUCAUUCGGUCCUGGAUGUCCCCAACAAUGAAUCCCAUUUCUUAUAUUCAUUCGUUUUGCAUGGAUAUGGAGGAUAAUACGAUUGAUAUUGCACCAUUGCUUAGCACCCUUGCACAUAUUCGAAGUGUUUUGGUAGCAUGUGACACCGAACUUCAAUUAUCUAAGCAAGUGACAAAUAUUUUGGUUGAAUAUUUUGCGAAUAUUACAGAAUCAGGAAUAUCAAAGCAACACUUCAGGUGUUCUCUGAUUGGUGUUGGAGCAUACCAUCAAUUCUUCAAUGCUGUCAGCAAUAACAUAUAUGAGGUAUUGGCAAGCAGUGAGUCUGGUGAUGUUUGUCUCCCAACUGUUAACGAUUCUUAUUGUUUGGCCCAUAUGGGUGAGGGACAAUCUGUUUCUUUCACUGUGCCUCAAGAUCGUGACAUGAAAGGAAUGAUUUUGUGUGUUGUUUAUUUAUCAACCCCUAAAAUCAUUGAACCUGAAUUUACUGUUGUCUUAAUUGUUAAUUACACA